ACUCCUACGGGAGGCAGCAGUAGGGAAUCUUCCACAAUGGGCGCAAGCCUGAUGGAGCAACACCGCGUGAGUGAAGAAGGGUUUCGGCUCGUAAAGCUCUGUUGUUAAAGAAGAACACGUAUGAGAGUAACUGUUCAUACGUUGACGGUAUUUAACCAGAAAGUCACGGCUAACUACGUGCCAGCAGCCGCGGUAAUACGUAGGUGGCAAGCGUUAUCCGGAUUUAUUGGGCGUAAAGAGAGUGCAGGCGGUUUUCUAAGUCUGAUGUGAAAGCCUUCGGCUUAACCGGAGAAGUGCAUCAGAAACUGGAUAACUUGAGUGCAGAAGAGGGUAGUGGAACUCCAUGUGUAGCGGUGGAAUGCGUAGAUAUAUGGAAGAACACCAGUGGCGAAGGCGGCUACCUGGUCUGCAACUGACGCUGAGACUCGAAAGCAUGGGUAGCGAACAGGAUUAGAUACCCUGGUAGGAUAGCG
rnacentral:rRNA from 1 species